rnacentral:rRNA from 1 species
AUUGAACGCUGGCGGCAUGCCUAACACAUGCAAGUCGAACGGCUGCACAAUAAAGAUUUCGGUCUUUAUGGGUGGCGAGUGGCGGACGGGUGAGUAACGCGUAGGAAUCUGUCCUGGAGAGUGGGAUAACCCGAGGAAACUCGGGCUAAUACUGCAUGACAUUGAGAGAUCAAAAGCAGGGGACCGAAAGGCCUUGCGCUCUGGGGUGAGCCUACGUCGGAUUAGCUAGUUGGUGGGGUAAAGGCCUACCAAGGCGACGAUCCGUAGCUGGUCUGAGAGGAUGACCAGGCACACUGGGACUGAGACACGGCCCAGACUCCUACGGGAGGCAGCAGUGGGGAAUCUUGGACAAUGGGGGAAACCCUGAUCCAGCGAUGCCGCGUGUGUGAAGAAGGCCUUCGGGUUGUAAAGCACUUUAGGUGGGGAAGAAAGGUAGCGAGUGAAUAACUUUCUGCUGUGACGGUACCCACAGAAUAAGCACCGGCUAACUCUGUGCCAGCCGCCGCGGUAA